CCUACGGGUGGCACCAGUGAGGAAUAUUGGUCAAUGGACGGAAGACUGAACCAGCCAUGUCGCGUGCAGGAUGAAGGCCCUACGAGUCGUAAACCGCUUUUGCACGAGGAUAACACCCUCCACUUGUGGAGGGCUGCAAGUAUCGUACGAAUAAGGACCGGCUAAUUCCGUGCCAGCAGCCGCGGUAAUACGGAGGAUCCGAGCGUUAUCCGGAUUUAUUGGGUUUAAAGGGAGCGUAGGCGGUUUGGUAAGUUAGUGGUGAAAUUUCGCGGCUCAACCGUAGAAUUGCAUUUGAUACUGGCAGCCUUGAGUAUAGUAGAGGUAGGCGGAAUGUGUGGUGUAGCGGUGAAAUGCUUAGAUAUCACGAAGAACUCCGAUUGCGAAGGCAGCCUGCUGGACUACAACUGACGCUGAUGCUCGAAAGCGUGGGGAGCAAACAGGAUUAGAUACCCGAGUAGUC
rnacentral:rRNA from 1 species